rnacentral:rRNA from 1 species
CACGUAGGGCGCAAGCGUUGUCCGGUAUUAUUGGGCGUAAAGAGCUCGUAGGUGGUUUGCUGCGUCCGCUGUGAAAACCCAAGGCUUAACCUUGGGCUUGCAGUGGAUACGGGCAGACUAGAGGUAGGUAGGGGAGAAUGGAAUUCCCGGUGUAGCGGUGAAAUGCGCAGAUAUCGGGAGGAACACCGGUGGCGAAGGCGGUUCUCUGGGCCUUACCUGACACUGAGGAGCGAAAGCGUGGGGAGCGAACAGG